GACGAACGCUGGCGGCGUGCCUAAUACAUGCAAGUUGAGCGCUGAAGGUUGGUACUUGUACCAACUGGAUGAGCAGCGAACGGGUGAGUAACGCGUGGGGAAUCUGCCUUUGAGCGGGGGACAACAUUUGGAAACGAAUGCUAAUACCGCAUAAAAACUUUAAACACAAGUUUUAAGUUUGAAAGAUGCAAUUGCAUCACUCAAAGAUGAUCCCGCGUUGUAUUAGCUAGUUGGUGAGGUAAAGGCUCACCAAGGCGAUGAUACAUAGCCGACCUGAGAGGGUGAUCGGCCACAUUGGGACUGAGACACGGCCCAAACUCCUACGGGAGGCAGCAGUAGGGAAUCUUCGGCAAUGGACGAAAGUCUGACCGAGCAACGCUGCGUGAGUGAAGAAGGGUUUCGGAUCGUAAAACUCUGUUGGUAGAGAAGAACGUUGGUGAGAGUGGAAAGCUCAUCAAGUGACGGUAACUACCCAGAAAGGGACGGCUAACUACGUG
rnacentral:rRNA from 1 species